rnacentral:rRNA from 1 species
UACGAAGGGGGCUAGCGUUGCUCGGAAUUAUUGGGCGUAAAGCGCGCGUAGGCGGUUACUUAAGUCGGAUGUGAAAGCCCUCGGCUUAACUGAGGAAGUGCACCCGAAACUGAGUAGCUGGAGUACGAAAGAGGGUCGCGGAAUUCCCGGUGUAGAGGUGAAAUUCGUAGAUAUCGGGAGGAACACCGGUGGCGAAGGCGGCGACCUGGGUCGAGACUGACGCUGAGGCGCGAAAGCGUGGGGAGCAAACAGG